AGGAUAAUAAUUAAAAAAUAAUAUUUAUUUUGCAAAUAAAAAUUAAUAUAAAUGUAUUUUAUCUUA
rnacentral:tRNA from 1 species